UACAGAGGUCUCAAGCGUUGUUCGGAUUCAUUGGGCGUAAAGGGUGCGUAGGCGGCGCGGUAAGUCGGGUGUGAAAUCUUGGAGCUUAACUCCGAAACUGCAUUCGAUACUGCCGUGCUUGAGGACUGGAGAGGAGACUGGAAUUUACGGUGUAGCGGUGAAAUGCGUAGAUAUCGUAAGGAACACCAGUGGCGAAAGCGAGUCUCUGGAUAGCAACUGACGCUGAAGCACGAAGGCCCAGGGGAGC
rnacentral:rRNA from 1 species